GGACAGACUCCAGGGGGGCAGGUCAGGACUGCAGGCAUGAAGGUGGCGCUCGAACCCAUGAGCUGGCAAAGCGGGGGAGGUGGCCUGCUGCGAGCAUGUGGGACGGGAAGAGAAGAGGGUAACGGGUGGGACCUGGAGUUCUUGGAAAGGACAGGGUGUCCUCAUGAGGAAGUACUCUGAGGGGUGAAGGCAGUUGGCUUGGUGAGGCUGACGCUCAGGGGAAAGAAGGUUCUGGGCCGGAGCUACGGGAGGUGUCCUUUAGGGAGCAGUAGGAGGUAUGAGAGCAGGAGAAAUAGACUAGAAAAUGUAGUCUUUGUAUCUAGAGCAUUCCUUCUGGUAACAGAUGUGGUCAGCAACUCGGUCGCCAGAGGCCAAGAUAAUGGGGAGAUACCAUUCCCAAAGAAGAAGAAGGCGGGGUGACGUGCAGGGGCGAUGUUUAAACCCGGGAGGUGAGGAUACGAAGACUAAACGUUUCGUCCAGGCUGGACGUAGGUUCCCUUUGGAGGAAGCCUACCAAAGGGGUGAUGCCUCUCGCCCUCCCCCGCCCCCAUGACCCCGCCAGGCAACUGUGACUGUGCACAAAGUGGCACUGAGCUACCGCGAGGCAGGGAGAGUCACGGCCCGGUGUAUGGUCUCUUUUCUCUGGACCAGGCCAAGCCCUCUUUUCAGCUGGACCUGGGGUCCUGGCCUUCCUACGGGAGCCUGACAUCUAUAAGAACCUCACGAGCAACGUCUCCUUGCUGUCAUGGCCGCUGCCCCACCUCCUUCAAGCGUCCCAUGCGGAGGACAACGCGGAAGCAAGAUAUUCCGCUCCGGAGGACAAGACGGCACUGUGGACGUAUCGCCUUUCCAGAGCAGGCUGGAGAUAAAGACCCCGAUCGCUUUUCCCUGAACGGGCUUCACAUCAUUCAUCAAAGGCUAUCGCAGACCUCCGGGGACUGUGCUGUCACCAAGAUACCUUGUGGUGCAACCGAGCUUGAGAACCGAGUUUGCGAAAACAUCACCAAGGUCGGAAAGAGACCCCCUCGGAAAGAUCCCCCCACCCCCCACCCACCACCCCCGCCCCCAACCCGGCGGCCGCGGGCUCGAGGGGCUGGAUCACAGCAGUAAUGUUAAGGGCUCUUUAUUAUUCAAAAAAUAAAUAACAAGAUAAUCACAAGUUCACUCUGGAAACAAUGGAGCCUGCAGGUAGAUACGAGAGAUUUCCUUUAAAUACAGUCAUUUCGGGAGGAGGAGUGGGCAGGCUGAGAGCGGCUGCCUCUGCUCUCUUCCUCCCACCUACAGUGGUGGAGACGGGACAGGGUUGAAAUAAGAGAACCGAGUAGUAACAGCCUGACUGUGUGCGGAUGAGGGGGGC